GACGAACGCUGGCGGCGUGGAUUAGGCAUGCAAGUCGAACGGUAUCAUCCUUUCGGGGGUGAGAGAGUGGCGAACUGGUGAGUAACACGUAGGUUAUCUACCCUCAAGACGGGGACAACCCAGGGAAACUUGGGCUAAUACCGGAUGUGAGCAACUUUUAGUUGUUUGAAAGGUGGCGUAAGCUGUCGCUUGGGGAUGAGCCUGCGUCCUAUUAGUUAGUUGGUGAGGUAACGGCUCACCUAGGCAAUGAUAGGUAGGCGGCCUUAACGGGUGGUCGCCCACACUGGGAUUGAGAUACGGCCCAGACUCCUACGGGAGGCAGCAGUCGAGAAUAGUCUACAAUGGUCGGAAGACUGAUAGUGCGACGCCGCGUGAACGAUGAAUCCCUUCGGGGUGUAAAGUUCUUUUAUAUGUGAGCAGUGCUUCUUAUAUUAACAGUAUGGGGAGAGAGAUAUUAGCAUAUGAAUAAGCAACGGCUAAACUCCGUGCCAAGCAGCCGCGGU
rnacentral:rRNA from 1 species